ACACUAACUACAUUAGGACUAAUUUAAUCAUUGAUGGCAAACUCCAAAAAUAUUCCUUCUCUAUUCCCUUUGUCUCUUGUGCACAGUGCCACACUCUCCCUCCAGCUCCAAAACAAGAAUAGUGCAUUCAACAGUUAAUGCAUAUUAAAAAGGGGGGAGUAUUAUACCAGCAAGAUCAAACAAAGAAGUACCAUCUCCUCCGAGGCAAACAGUGGCUAAA
rnacentral:lncRNA from 1 species